AUGUCGGAGGCGCGUGGAGAGCCAGGGUCUGGGCCUGAGGCUGGCGCCCGAUUCUUCUGCACUGCGGGUCGCGGCCUGGAGCCUUUCCUGAUGCGGGAGGUGCGGGCGCGGCUGGCGGCCACGCAGGUUGAAUAUAUUUCAGGAAAGGUUUUUUUCACCACCUGUUCUGAUUUGAAUAUGUUGAAGAAAUUAAAAUCUGCAGAAAGAUUAUUUUUGCUGAUUAAAAAGCAGUUUCCACUUAUUAUUUCUUCUGUAAGUAAAGGAAAAAUAUUUAAUGAAAUGCAAAGACUUAUAAAUGAAGAUCCAGGAAGUUGGUUGAAUGCCAUUUCAAUUUGGAAAAAUCUUCUUGAACUUGAUGCAAAAAAGGAAAAACUUUCUCAGAGAGAUGAUAACCAACUAAAAAGAAAAGUGGGAGAAAAUGAAAUCAUUGCAAAGAAAUUAAAAAUAGAACAAAUGCAAAAGAUAGAAGAGAAUAGGGACUGCCAGCUGGAAAAACAAAUAAAAGAAGAAACUCUGGAGCAAAGAGAUUUUACCACUAAAAGCGAAAAGUUUCAAGAAGAAGAAUUUCAGAAUGACAUAGAGAAAGCAAUUGAUACUCAUAAUCAGAAUGACUUGACUUUCAGAGUAUCUUGUCGCUGCAGUGGAACUAUUGGAAAGGCCUUCACUGCACAGAUGUCCUUUGUAUUUGGAAAUCCUGAUACCAUAGUCCUCAGCUUUUGGGGUUUCUCUUCAGUUCAGCUUUGUGCUUAUUCAGUGGCUACUCUGCACAGGUCCUGUACAUGGGAUUGUCACCAGGACCUAGAUUGCAAAUGCACGUGAGGUCUCAGCAAUGUAGAGAAGAGCGAACACCACAAACUGUUGUCAUCACCAGACCUCAUCAGUUGGCCCUUACAAAGUUCAGUGAUGUUAAAGGCCAUUGGUCUGAAUACUUUAUCAACCUUAAAAUCAGUCAAACCCUAAA
rnacentral:sRNA from 1 species